rnacentral:rRNA from 1 species
UACGUAGGGGGCAAGCGUUGUCCGGAUUUAUUGGGCGUAAAGAGCGUGUAGGCGGUUUGGUAGGUCCGCUGUGAAAACUCGAGGCUCAACCUCGAGACGCCGGUGGAAACCAUCAGGCUAGAGUCCGGAAGAGGAGUGUGGAAUUCCCGGUGUAGCGGUGAAAUGCGCAGAUAUCGGGAAGAACACCCGUGGCGAAGGCGGCACUCUGGGACGGUACUGACGCUGAGACGCGAAAGCGUGGGGAGCGAACAGG